GCUUGUCUCAAAGAUUAAGCCAUGCAUGUCUAAGUAUAAACGACUUUAUACUGUGAAACUGCGAAUGGCUCAUUAUAUCAGUUAUAGUUUAUUUGAUGGUCCUUGCUACUUGGAUAACCGUAGUAAUUCUAGAGCUAAUACAUGCAUCAAACCCCGACUUCUGGAAGGGACGUAUUUAUUAGAUAAAAGGCCGACCGGGCUCUGCCCGACUCGCGGUGAAUCAUGAUAACUUCACGAAUCGCACGGCCUCGUGCCGGCGAUGUUUCAUUCAAAUUUCUGCCCUAUCAACUUUUGAUGGUAGGAUAGAGGCCUACCAUGGUGGUAACGGGUGACGGAGGAUUAGGGUUCGAUUCCGGAGAGGGAGCCUGAGAAACGGCUACCACAUCCAAGGAAGGCAGCAGG
rnacentral:rRNA from 1 species